rnacentral:lncRNA from 1 species
CCGAUAACAAAAUUAUGUUGAUUGAUUGAUUAUAUUAUGAAAUGCAAUCAAUUAAUCAAAGAAAAUUCUUUCCAUGUAGUCUAAUUUACGAUAAAUUUACAUAAAAUGUUCUAGUAAACAUCGAUUGAUUUUAAAGUAACCAACCGUAAUACGAUAUACAUAUAAAGGAAGAUGAUUUGAAUACAUUAUGCAAAUAUUUAUCGGGCAAAUGUUAAAAUGUUUAUUUUAAUGUUUAACGAGGACGAAUAUGUGAUCGACUUUGACCUUAUAUUACCUACAUAUCUUCUGCUAACUAGUGUGUGAAGCUCAAGAAUACUUCAUGUCACCCGUUAUCUAGAAAAGCUUCGAUUGACGUUAGCCAUUACUUAACUGCAUCUGUAGUGGAGGAGGGGCUACCAAACCAGCGUUGUUCGUAUAAAUCAUUUUGGUAACAUGUUAUGGGAUGACAGAUGACAGGCUUUUCACUGACCCCGCUCACUGCUGGGUGUCAGAACCGCAUAAAGAAACGAAAAAGAGAACUGAAAAAUUACCACCCUCUUUGUUUGCAUCGCUGACAUCACAGUUGUUGAUAAUCUUAAUGAAAAUGAUAUAUGUCGAAAAGAUCAUAUCGGUAUGUGUUGUUAAUGUAAACUAUAACGUUUUGAUCGUUUCGAAUGUUUUUUAAUGUUCUUUUUUUUUAUACGAGAGAAU